UACAGAGGUGGCAAGCGUUGUUCGGAAUUACUGGGCGUAAAGGGCGCGUAGGCGGCCUUCUAAGUCAGACGUGAAAUCCCCCGGCUUAACCUGGGAACUGCGUCUGAUACUGGAGGGCUUGAGUGCGGGAGAGGGAUGUGGAAUUCCAGGUGUAGCGGUGAAAUGCGUAGAUAUCUGGAGGAACACCGGUGGCGAAGGCGGCAUCCUGGACCGACACUGACGCUGAGGCGCGAAAGCGUGGGGAGCAAACAGGG
rnacentral:rRNA from 1 species